AUUGAACGCUGGCGGCAUGCCUUACACAUGCAAGUCGAACGGCAGCACGGGGCAACCUGGUGGCGAGUGGCGAACGGGUGAGUAAUACAUCGGAACGUGCCCGGAAGUGGGGGAUAACGUAGCGAAAGUUACGCUAAUACCGCAUAUUCUGUGAGCAGGAAAGCAGGGGAUCGCAAGACCUUGCGCUUUCGGAGCGGCCGAUGUCGGAUUAGCUAGUUGGUGGGGUAAAAGCUCACCAAGGCGACGAUCCGUAGCUGGUCUUAGAGGAUGAUCAGCCACACUGGGACUGAGACACGGCCCAGACUCCUACGGGAGGCAGCAGUGGGGAAUUUUGGACAAUGGGCGAAAGCCUGAUCCAGCCAUGCCGCGUGAGUGAAGAAGGCCUUCGGGUUGUAAAGCUCUUUCGGACAGAAAGAAAUCGCAUCGGCUAAUACUCGAUGUGGAUGACGGUACUGUCAUAAGAAGCACCGGCUAACUACGUGC
rnacentral:rRNA from 1 species